rnacentral:rRNA from 1 species
UACAGAGGGGGCAAGCGUUGUUCGGAAUUACUGGGCGUAAAGGGCUCGUAGGCGGCCAACUAAGUCGGAUGUGAAAUCCCCAGGCUUAACCUGGGAACUGCAUCCGAUACUGGAUGGCUUGAAUCCGGGAGAGGGAUGCAGAAUUCCAGGUGUAGCGGUGAAAUGCGUAGAUAUCUGGAGGAAUACCGGUGGCGAAGGCGGCAUCCUGGACCGGCAUUGACGCUGAGUGAGCGAAAGCCAGGGGAGCAAACGGG